rnacentral:rRNA from 1 species
GACGAACGCUGGCGGCGUGCUUAACACAUGCAAGUCGAACGGGCCUUGUCCCCUUUUUUUUUGGGGGUGGGGUUAGUGGCGAACGGGUGAGUAACACGUGAGUAACCUGCCCCUCACUUCUGGAUAACCGCUUGAAAGGGUGGCUAAUACGGGGUGUUCUGGCCUGCUCGCAUGGGUGGGUUUGGAAAGAUUCGACCGGUUUUGGUUGUUUUGGUGGGGGAUGGGCUCGCGGCCUAUCAGCUUGUUGGUGGGGUGAUGGCCUGCCAAGGCUUUGACGGGUAGCCGGCCUGAGAGGGUGGGCGGUCACACUGGGACUGAGACACGGCCCAGACUCCUACGGGAGGCAGCAGUGGGGAAUAUUGCACAAUGGGCGCAAGCCUGAUGCAGCGACGCCGCGUGAGGGAUGGAGGCCUUCGGGUUGUGAACCUCUUUCGCCAGUGAAGAAGGUCCUGCUCUUUGUGGUGGGGUUGACGGUAGCUGGGUUAAUGAAGCGCUGGCUAACUACGUG